GAAUCCAGACUGAUUCUUCCUUGCCUUUGAAGGUAUUACUCUGCUCCAUGUGAGCAAACUGAACAUUUUGAAACUUGCUCCUGGUGGACAUGUGGGACGUUUCUGCAUCUGGACCGAGGGUGCCUUCCGAAAGUUAGAUGUGUUGUAUGGGACUUGGCGUAAGGCUGCUUCCCUGAAAAGUAAUUACAACCUUCCCAUGCACAAGAUGAUGAACACAGACCUAAGCAGGAUCUUCAAAAGCCCAGAGAUCCAAAGAGCCCUCCGAGCACCACGCAAGAAGAUUCAUCGUAGAGUCUUGAAAAAGAACCCACUGAAAAACCUGAGAAUAAUGUUGAAGCUCAACCCGUAUGCAAAGACUAUGAGGAGGAAUACCAUUCUUCGCAGGCCAGAAAUCACAAACUGCGGGUGAAGAAACUAG